rnacentral:rRNA from 1 species
AGCGAACGCUGGCGGCAGGCCUAACACAUGCAAGUCGAACGAACCUUUCGGGGUUAGUGGCGGACGGGUGAGUAACACGUGGGAACGUGCCUUUAGGUUCGGAAUAACUCAGGGAAACUUGUGCUAAUACCGAAUGUGCCCUUCGGGGGAAAGAUUAAUCGCCUUUAGAGCGGCCCGCGUCUGAUUAGCUAGUUGGUUGAGGUAAUGGCUCACCAAGGCGACGAUCAGUAGCUGGUCUGAGAGGAUGUUCAGCCACAUUGGGACUGAGACACGGCCCAAACUCCUACGGGAGGCAGCAGUGGGGAAUCUUGCGCAAUGGGCGAAAGCCUGACGCAGCCAUGCCGCGUGAAUGAUGAAGGUCUUAGGAUUGUAAAAUUCUUUCACCGGGGACGAUAAUGACGGUACCCGGAGAAGAAGCCCCGGCUAACUUCGUG